UUUCGGGCUUUAUUUGCGCAGGAUAGGUGGGAGGCUUUGAGAGUGUUUUUGAGGGAACAUUUGAGCCAUUGGUGAGAUACCACUCUUAUAAAGCUAGAAUUCUAACCUUAUACCGUUAGCCGGUUAAGGAACAGUCUCUGGUGGGCAGUUUGACUGGGGCGGUCGCCUCCUAAAAGGUAACGGAGGCGCACAAAGGUUUCCUCAGAUCGGUCAGAAAUCGAUCGUAGAGCGUAAAGGCAUAAGGAAGCUUGACUGCGAGACCUACAAGUCGAGCAGAGACGAAAGUCGGUCUUAGUGAUCUGACGGUUCCGAGUGGAAGGGCCGUCACUCAACGGAUAAAAGUUACUCUAGGGAUAAC
rnacentral:rRNA from 1 species